rnacentral:lncRNA from 1 species
GAGCAAUGCGCCACAAUAUUGAAAAUUUGCCUUCCGCUUUACAUGCUGAUUUUACCUUUUGUUUGUAGAUAGGCUUGAAGUCAAUGUACUUUUGUUUUGGACUGGUAAAGAGCUGAGCCUUCUGUACAUGCUUUGAGUAACACCAGCCAAUUUUAGUGCCAGAAGAAGUAAGUCAUGGAAGGUUUCUCCCCUGAAAGCAGAUGUCUGAUGAAUAAAACAGAGUCUGGAAAUGACAGAGCUGAUACUGACAAGGAAUGCAAUGGCAAUAACUCGGAAAGAACAGAAAGCACAAAGCAAGAGAUGUUUCUUCCGCAAUUCCCUGUUCUACAGGCUUCUGAGUGUGAACACGUUAGACUACCUGGGAAUCAAAUGAAUGGCAGCUACCAGGGACUAUGCAGAAUCUAGAGCUGAACUGUUAUCCUUUUCUCGGCUACAGUUCACUGGAUCCAGGACAGAGACUGAAAACCUCCUUUUUGACUGUUCUUAUUUUAAAGCUAAAGUAGAGGUACUGUAUGCAACCAAUGUGUAAAUAAGGGGUGGAUAAUUGGAGCUUGCAUUUGAAAGGCCUGAUCCUGCACAGACUUGUACACGGGAGUCAUUUUGCUGAUAUGAGCAGUUCCUGCUAUGCAGACAGUUCAAUAGGAACUACUCAAGUGAGUCACGUGCAGAGGUCUCUGGAGAAACAGGUCUUAAAACAAUGCAUUUAAGGGAUGCACUAAUAAAAUCAAUGAUGUUAGAAGCA